CCUGCUCAUUUCUCAGCUGGACAGUGAGGGUUGUGCACUCCACACGCUGACAACAUGCUUCUGAAAAUCUGCACUCUCAUCACUGCUCUCUCAUGUGUGAGUGGUGUGACAGUGGUUACCCAGAAGCCUCCUGCUCUGACAGUGAAUCAAGGAGGGACAGUGACUAUGGACUGUAACCUUGGGACAGUCACUAGCAGUGCUGCUCGCUGGUACAAGCAGGUCCCAGGUGGAGUUCCCCAGCAUGUGUUGAGGUUUUACCAUGGAUCGAGCUCCCCCACCUAUGGGACAGGCUUCUCAUCCAGCCGCUUCACAUCAAACCACCAGAGUACAUCAGAUUAUCGGUUGAUCAUCAACACAGUGGAGGUGGGAGACUCAGCAGUUUAUUACUGUCACACAUGGGACGACUCUGCUAAGGAAGAGGUAUUCGGACAAGGCACUAAACUGAUCGUCAGCGGUAAGUACCUCUCCAUUCCCAUCUGCUCUGCUUCUCUUACCUAAAUCUUUAGUAAAAUGCUCACAGCAGUUGUUGUCUUAGAUUAAGCAAGUUAUAAUCUGCCUCUGUAGUGGUUAAUUUUAUCAUUAGAUAUAUGCUUAAGAAAGUGCCUUGAUACAUUCAUGUUGAUG